UGUGACCAGAAUGAAGGAGGGCCAGAAUGAUAUUUACUACAUUACUGGUGAGAGCAAGAAGGCUGUUGAGAACUCUCCCUUCCUGGAGAAACUGAAGAAGAAGGGAUAUGAGGUGCUUUACAUGGUUGAUGCCAUUGAUGAGUAUUCAAUUGGUCAGCUGAAGGAAUUUGAGGGCAAAAAGCUUGUUUCUGCUACCAAGGAAGGCCUCAAGCUUGAUGAGAGUGAAGAUGAGAAGAAAAAGCAGGAAGAAUUGAAGGAGAAGUUUGAGGGACUGUGUAAGGUGAUGAAGGAUGUGCUAGGAGACAAAGUUGAAAAGGUCAUUGUUUCUGACCGUGUUGUUGACUCUCCCUGCUGUUUGGUCACUGGU
rnacentral:misc_RNA from 1 species